ACCUCGAUGUCGGCUCAUCACAUCCUGGGGCUGAAGUAGGUCCCAAGGGUAUGGCUGUUCGCCAUUUAAAGUGGUACGCGAGCUGGGUUUAGAACGUCGUGAGACAGUUCGGUCCCUAUCUGCCGUGGGCGCUGGAGAAUUGAGGGGGGCUGCUCCUAGUACGAGAGGACCGGAGUGGACGCAUCACUGGUGUUCGGGUUGUCAUGCCAAUGGCACUGCCCGGUAGCUAAAUGCGGAAGAGAUAAGUGCUGAAAGCAUCUAAGCACGAAACUUGCCCCGAGAUGAGUUCUCCCUGAGACYUURAGUCUCCUGAAGGAACGUUAAAGACGAUGACGUUGAUAGGUCGGGUGUGUAAGCGCAGCGAUGCGUUGAGCUAACCGAUACUAAUGAACCGUGAGGCUUAACCUU
rnacentral:rRNA from 1 species